ACAGGGUUUGCACGAAAGAGACUGAAAACUGGUUAAUUGGGGCUGGGUUUCUGAUCUGCAAAACCAUGGAAAAUGUUCUGAGUAUGAGCCUUAUUUAUGUUGUGGAGUGGACCAGUCAUGUAUAUGUGUUUCCUUACUCUGAGUUCAGCUGUCUGGAACUGGCAAUGUAAUGAAAAUCUUCUGAGGUCUCAACUUUCUCUAGGAAAGGAAUAAUUGCUCUUUAAUAUCCAACACUCAUUUUUGGUGGACAAGUUUGUGUAUGCAUUGUUUAAAGUUGAGUGGCACUCGCUAAUUAAUAAAUGCGAACCGGGUUUAGUUAUUAUAUUGAGUGAUAUUAGUUAGUCUGACUGUAAAACUUACUAUUUUAUUGAGUUUUUACAUGCUGAUGAUCUCCUCCAUAACAAUCUUCUGAUGCAUUGCAAGAAUGAGUUAUUUGCCCUUC